UACAGGGGGGGCAAGCGUUGUUCGGAAUUACUGGGCGUUAAAGGGUCGUCGAGUGACGACGCCUAAGUAGUCAUCAGAUGAACCUCCUCGAAGCUUGGAACUGGGACGUGUCGUCAUACUGGAUGGCUUGAGUUUGGGAGAGGGAUGCGGGAAUUCCAGGUGUAGCGGUGAAAUGCGUAGAUAUCGGAGGACACCGGUGGCGAAGGCGGCAUCCUGGACCAACACUGACACUGAUGAGCGAAAGC
rnacentral:rRNA from 1 species